UACGAAGGGUGCAAACGUUGCUCGGAAUCAUUGGGCGUAAAGCGUGCGCAGGCGGCUAUGCAAGACAGAUGUGAAAUCCCCGGGCUCAACCUGGGAACUGCAUUUGUGACUGCAUGGCUAGAGCACGGUAGAGGGGGAUGGAAUUCCGCGUGUAGCAGCGAAAUGCGUAGAUAUGCGGAGGAACACCGAUGGCGAAGGCAAUCCCCUGGACCUGUACUGACGCUCAUGCACGAAAGCGUGGGGAGCAAACAGG
rnacentral:rRNA from 1 species